UAAUGCCGGAUGCUCCGACUCCUCGCAUGGGGUGUCGGGAAAGAUUUCAUCGGUAUGGGAUGGGGUCGCGUCCUAUCAGGUAGUCGGCGGGGUAACGGCCCACCGAGCCUACGACGGGUAGCCGGCCUGAGAGGGCGACCGGCCACAUUGGGACUGAGAUACGGCCCAGACUCCUACGGGAGGCAGCAGUGGGGAAUAUUGCACAAUGGGCGCAAGCCUGAUGCAGCGACGCCGCGUGCGGGAUGACGGCCUUCGGGUUGUAAACCGCUUUUGAUCGGGAGCAAGCCUUCGGGUGAGUGUACCUUUCGAAUAAGCACCGGCUAACUACGUGCCAGCAGCCGCGGUAAUACGUAGGGUGCAAGCGUUAUCCGGAAUUAUUGGGCGUAAAGGGCUCGUAGGCGGUUCGUCGCGUCCGGUGUGAAAGUCCAUCGCUUAACGGUGGAUCUGCGCCGGGUACGGGCGGGCUGGAGUGCGGUAGGGGAGACUGGAAUUCCCGGUGUAACGGUGGAAUGUGUAGAUAUC
rnacentral:rRNA from 1 species